rnacentral:rRNA from 1 species
GACGAACGCUGGCGGCGUGCUUAACACAUGCAAGUCGAGCGAUGAAGCUUCUUCGGAAGUGGAUUAGCGGCGGACGGGUGAGUAACACGUGGGUAACCUGCCUCAUAGAGGGGAAUAGCCUUCCGAAAGGAAGAUUAAUACCGCAUAAGAUUGUAGCUUCGCAUGAAGCAGCAAUUAAAGGAGCAAUCCGCUAUGAGAUGGACCCGCGUCGCAUUAGCUAGUCGGUGAGGUAACGGCUCACCAAGGCGACGAUGCGUAGCCGACCUGAGAGGGUGAUCGGCCACAUUGGGACUGAGACACGGCCCAGACUCCUACGGGAGGCAGCAGUGGGGAAUAUCGCACAAUGGGGGAAACCCUGAUGCAGCAACGCCGCGUGAGUGAUGACGGUCUUCGGAUUGUAAAGCUCUGUCUUCAGGGACGAUAAUGACGGUACCUGAGGAGGAAGCCACGGCUAACUACGUGCCAGCAGCCGCAGUAAUAC